CCUAGUUAGUCGAAGUGGGUGAGAAUGGGAAUAGCAGGUAAGGUUGGGGAUUAUGCUUUCAAGGCCUUCACCGCCACUCUCGGAUUCACCACCAUUUACCUCACCGCAACCUUUUCCGUCAACGUUUACAGAGGCCUCUCUUGGCACAAUGCUCAAACCAAACUUGUCAAAGAAGAUGCUGAUGAGCAGACACCGUGAUUUGAUCUCAUAAGCCCACCUUCUUGAAUUUCAAAUCAUGUUGUGUAGAAAUGUAAUUUCCACCGAAGUCUAAGUAAGGAUAUUGUACAUGGUAAUCCAUCAUGGAAGCAAUACCGUCAUCAUCUUCUAAUUGAAGAAUUGGCAUUCUAAUACACACUUGCUUGACACAUUUUCUUGGAGUUUGGUUGCAAAUUAAUUUUUCUUUUUCAUAAAAGCAUGAAAUUUGUAAGAACGUUUUAGUUAUUAUUGGAUUGGGAUUGGUUGUGAUC